UGGGAUUCUGAAGCAAGAAGGGGUAUGGAGGUGCUACUAGUUCACAAAUGUUGACUGUUUUGAGGCGGCAAAGGUAUGCUCAUGGACGGUGCGCCCUGACAAUGGUUGUUGUGUCGGUUGGAGGAGUGGAGCUUCGGCGGCUGGUUUAGCGAUUGUGGAUGUGUAGAGCCUGCUGGAGUGGCUGGUGGCUACACAAAAAUGGUUUCACGAUAGGCAGCGGUGGUUGGCUCGUAACUACGAAUGACUGUGUGGUCUACUGGUAGCAGAUUUUUUUGUGAAGGUGCGGCAAAAAUUGACAGCGUUGUUGGAUUUUUAGAGAGAGGAGAGAGAGAAAAAUAGUUAGAGAGGCAGUUGAUUUG
rnacentral:lncRNA from 1 species